GUCAAAGAACCAUACAAUUCAG
rnacentral:siRNA from 1 species